CCCUUAGAUGUUCUGGGCCGCACGCGCGCUACACUGAUGCAUUCAACGAGUUUCUUCCUGGUCCGAGAGGAAUGGGUAACCUUUUGAAAGUGCAUCGUGAUAGGGAUAGACUAUUGCAAUUAUUGGUCUUCAACGAGGAAUUCCUAGUAGACGUAGUUCAUCAGACUGCAUCGAUUACGUCCCUGCCCUUUGUACACACCGCCCGUCGCUCCUACCGAUUGAAUGCUCAGGUGAGCCAUUCGGACUUUCAUCAUGCUGGUUUCCAGUUUUGAUGAAGGAAAGUCUUGCGGACCUUAUCAUUUAGAGGAAGGAGAAGUCGUAACA
rnacentral:rRNA from 1 species